rnacentral:tRNA from 1 species
CGGGGUGUGGCGCAGUUGGUAGCGUGCUUGACUGGGGGUCAAGAGGUCGGAAGUUCGAGUCUUCUCACUCCGACAA